UGGCUCGUAGCUCAGUUGGUAGAGCGUCUGACUGUUAAUCAGAUUGUCGUAGGUUCAAGCCCUAUCGAGUCAG
rnacentral:tRNA from 1 species